UGUUUUCGUCGGUUGCCCCGUUUUGCUGCGACUCGGUUGCAAAAGGGGGAGGCAGGGAUUUUCUCCCGUUCGUUUUUGAAACGCCCGCGUUCAUUUUUGUUUUUUGUCUUGGGAAAAAAAAAUGGGGUUAGAACGUUUCAAAUUGCGACGUAGUUUUUCUACCCAGCGUGUCCGGGAAAUUCGACAGCACAAAAUAAAAACAUGCCACGCUGUGACGUUCUUAUCGUGUGGUUGCGCACUGUAGACACACACAGACCCCUCAACCCACCCAUGAGAAUGUAUAUAUAUAUAAGAACAGAACUAAAAGAAAAAAUAAAUUUUCUUUUU